AAAAAAACAAACAAAUAUUCAAGGCAAGAAAUAAGAGAAAAUACCAAGAGUACCGGUCCGAGCUCGUCGAUUGUGGGACUCCGGCGGUGCUAUGCGGUUGAUUCCGGCAGCUGGUUAUCGACAGGUUUGCGUUGGAGGGGUCGUGGAUCGGUAGUGGUGUUAUGCGGUAGAUCUUGGUUGUGGUGUGUUGACGGUGUUGGAUCUGAUCCGUGCAAAUUUGCUGAAUCCUUUGCAUUUCUUCCCGAUCUGCUUCGCUUCAAAUUCCUUGGUCUACCCUGUCAUAAAAAGAAAAACAGUACAUUGUUGUUGUUCUUUAGUAUUGUUGUUAUACAAAGUUUACAGGUUCUAUAG